AGUGAACGCUGGCGGUAGGCCUAACACAUGCAAGUCGAACGGCAGCACAGGAGAGCUUGCUCUCUGGGUGGCGAGUGGCGGACGGGUGAGGAAUACAUCGGAAUCUACUCUGUCGUGGGGGAUAACGUAGGGAAACUUACGCUAAUACCGCAUACGACCUACGGGUGAAAGCAGGGGACCUUCGGGCCUUGCGCGAUUGAAUGAGCCGAUGUCGGAUUAGCUAGUUGGCGGGGUAAAGGCCCACCAAGGCGACGAUCCGUAACGGGUCUGAGAGGAUGAUCAGCCACACUGGAACUGAGACACGGUCCAGACUCCUACGGGAGGCAGCAGUGGGGAAUAUUGGACAAUGGGCGCAAGCCUGAUCCAGCCAUACCGCGUGGGUGAAGAAGGCCUUCGGGUUGUAAAGCCCUUUUGUUGGGAAAGAAAUCCAGCUGGCUAAUACCCGGUUGGGAUGACGGUACCCAAAGAAUAAGCACCGGCUAACUUCGUGCCAGCAGCCGCCGCCG
rnacentral:rRNA from 1 species